AGCGGGAGUGUUUUCCGGAAAAACACGGAAACUACUCAAACCGCUCGGGAAUAGCGCCAUUCCCAAACGCUCGGCCGAAAUUACUCCACCAAAACCGAUCCCUUCCCCGCUACAGCCCCCAUCCCUGCCACAUCGCGCGCGUCCACCCCCACCCCCUCUUCCCUUCGCGGUUCCAGUCACGCCACCCGUCGCGGCGCCCUGUACUCCACCGUCGCAGCUCCCAGCGGCGCGCAAGGCAUCCAAUCGGUCUCCGCGGCGCCCGUCCAUCUGGUUCCUACGGCUCCCAGCGGCGCGCAGGGGAUCCAAUCGCCGAUGGCGCUCCAAAACGGCGGCAACCCAGAUUGACUGAUUUUUGUGGAUACCAACCAGCAGAGCUUGAAUCUACUGUCACAGCACGGUACUUCCUGAGUUGCAGCUAGACAAGAUGUUGAAUUGUGCCAUGAUCUUUCACAAAUUUGGCAUGCACGAUGGCUCGCUGGGAUUAAAAUCAUGAGAACUGAACGAAUCUAUGCUACUAUCUUGCAAAAGUUUUAGUUCUGAUGCAUCUACAGGAACUGAGACUGCAUUUCUACUUGAUGGAUAGAUAACAGCAGGUAGUAGAUGUCCAUGGUGAUGCUCAUUUUGUACAAUACUUAUGGAUCCUUUCAGCUACAACACAUUGCACGAUGAGCAGAUACAUCUGAUGACUCCAGAUCCAUGUGUUUGUGAAGAUUGAAGACGAUAACAAUCUUGUUUUGUCUAUCAUUAUACUUAAGCUGUCAUUUUCUAAGAAUUUUUGCUGGUUGUAACAUCACUCGUAGGAAAGGUUUCUACCUUUCAUUGUAAUUGCACUGCAAAUAAAUAAUUACUCCGUGGCACGUAUUAAACAAUAAUUUUUCAAUGUAGAUAGUCGUAAUUAUUUCUCUGUUGUACUAAUAUAACCUUUUCGGCUAAA